AUGUCGUUGCUCAGUACCUGUUAAAAAGGCCAUAGUAAUUAUUUGUUAAAUUGCCCAGACAGACCAUGUUUCGGUAAAUUACCAUAUUUGGUAAUUGCGUUGGUCAUGUGACUCCACUUCUCACAGUGCAAUGUUCUGAUAUCGCUUCAUGGCAUAUUUAGAUGGAGUAGCAGUUAACUUCGGGCAUAUUUUCACAUAAUUGAACGUUGCACUUUGUUGAAGUUGUGUGCGUCCAUGUAUACGCGGCACCAUUCUCCACUAUAGACAUCACCGCAAAUCUUCUAGGAACUGCACUCCAGAGUCUAAUACUGAAGUUUAAAGGAGCUUAUAAAGAGGAACAUGUUCUCACCUCUGGCCUGGUGGACUCUUUACGCUACUACAUUAACAGAGACCUGGAAACCGAGCUCUCUGUCCAGGUACACACACACACACACACAGUCCUCUCUGUCCAGGUACACACACACACACACACACACACACACACAGAGCUCUCUGCCCAGGUAACAAAGACUGGACUCCGAACUCUAUCAAAUAAAGACAAUCAUCCCACUUCAAAAUAUCAAAAGUUAGGAAUUGUCAUUGAUUAGCUAACAUAUGAUUAAUCUAUCUAUUGUAAAUUCUACACUGCCAUAUUAACUAAAUAUAACAUAUGACUAAUAAAUCUAUGGUAAAUUAUACACUGUGCCAUAUUAGCGAAAUAUAACAUGAUUGUAUAUUAUAAUUGUAAAUUAUAUAUGCUAUAAAAGGUCUUGAAAUUGCCAACAAAAAAACUAAGUGGGAAAAUGUCCAUUAUUUUCUUAAUUCAUCUUCUGUUGUUAGGGUGAAGAUACAGUUCAGCCAAUCAAACUUUCACCAGCUUCUCUGUGGCCAAUAAGUACCAAACAGGAAGUGAAAAUGUCUGUCGGAAUGGUAGUGCACUUAUUAAUAAUUUAUGAACACUUAUCUAAUCUGAACAUUUAUCUGUUUCAUAUUUUGUUAGUCUGAGACACAUGUGAGACAGAUGCAGUGGAACGAAAAUAUCUUGGCAAGAAAACCAGUCAAAGUAACACCAAGUGUUGUUACAGGAUGUUGUUGACCUGGAACUGAAGAGUGAGGGACGGUAAAAUCUUCCCUUUCUAUCUAAAACCUACAAUAUUCUUUAGUCUCUGCACAGAUAGAGGUAGACAGACCUUCCCUUUGGGGUUGUCAGUAUGUUUAAUUGCAUAGAGAGAAGAGAACAUAAAUCACUUAUACAGCAUAUUGAAUUACCACCUUAUUAAAUUACAACUGGAAAAGCAACUGUCACAGUAGAGAUUCCAGGUUUUGAUCACCUGUACACACACACACACACACCACCACCACCACC
ensembl:lncRNA